AUCAUGGCUCAGAUUGAACGCUGGCGGCAGGCCUAACACAUGCAAGUCGAGCGGUAGAAAGUAGCUUGCUACUUUUGAGAGCGGCGGACGGGUGAGUAACGCGUGGGAAUCUACCUGGUAGUGGGGGACAACUUGGGGAAACUCAAGCUAAUACCGCAUACGCCCUACGGGGGAAAGGAGGGGCUCUUCGGACCUUUCGCUAUCAGAUGAGCCUGCGUAGGAUUAGCUAGUUGGUAGGGUAAAGGCCUACCAAGGCGACGAUCCUUAGCUGGUCUGAGAGGAUGAUCAGCCACACUGGGACUGAGACACGGCCCAGACUCCUACGGGAGGCAGCAGUGGGGAAUAUUGGACAAUGGGGGCAACCCUGAUCCAGCCAUGCCGCGUGUGUGAAGAAGGCCUUCGGGUUGUAAAGCACUUUCAGUGGUGAGGAAGGGUGUAAAGUUAAUACCUUUAUACAUGACCGUAGCCCC
rnacentral:rRNA from 1 species